GAUGAACGCUAGCGGCAGGCUUAAUACAUGCAAGUCAAGGGGGUAGCAAUACAACCGGCGCACGGGUGAGUAACACGUACACAACAUACCAUAUACUGAGGUAUAGCUUCGGGAAACUGAAGGUAAUCCCUCAUAGGUAUUGUGAAAGGGCAUCUUUUUACAAUUAAAGUUUCGACGGUAUAUGAUUGGUGUGCGUUUGAUUAGCUAGUUGGUAGGGUAACGGCCUACCAAGGCAACGAUCAAUAGCUGGCGUGAGAGCGCGACCAGCCACACUGGAACUGAGACACGGUCCAGACUCCUACGGGAGCAGCAGUAGGGAAUAUUGGACAAUGGGCAAAGCCUGAUCCAGCCAUGCCGCGUGAUAGAUGAAGGCCCUCUGGGUGUAAUAUCUUUAUCUU
rnacentral:rRNA from 1 species